GCCGGAUGGGUUGGCAUGCGCCUGUAGUCCCAGCUACUUGGGAGACUCAGAUAGGAGGAUCGCUUGAGUCUAGGAGUUCUGGGAUAUAGUGUAUUAUGCCGAUGGGGUGUCUGCAUUAAGUUCGGCAUCAAUACGGUGAUCUCUUGGGAGCGGGGAUGGGGUGGGGUGGGGGAGCCACCAGAUUGCCUAAGGAGGGGUGAAUCGGCUUAGUUCAGAAAUAGAGCAGGUCAAAACUGUUGUGUUGACCAGUAGUGGAGUUGUUCCUGUGAAUAGUCACUGCACUCCAGCCUGGGCAACAUAUUGAGACCCCAUCUUU
rnacentral:SRP_RNA from 1 species